UACGAAGGGGGCUAGCGUUGCUCGGAAUCACUGGGCGUAAAGGGUGCGUAGGCGGGUCUUUAAGCCAGGGGUGAAAUCCCGGGGCUCAACCUCGGAACUGCCUUUGAUACAGCAAGUCUUGAGUUCGAGAGAGGUGGGUGGAAUUCCUAGUGUAGAGGUGAAAUGCGUAGAUAUCGGGAGGAACACCAGUGGCGAAGGCGACUACCUGGCCUGUUCUUGACGCUGAGGCGCGAAAGCUAGGGGAGCAAACGGG
rnacentral:rRNA from 1 species